GACGAACCGUGCGAACGUUGUUCGGAUUCACUGGGCUUAAAGGGCGCGUAGGCGGGCGGUCAAGUCGGGGGUGAAAUCUUUCAGCUUAACUGGAAAAGUGCCUCCGAUACUGAUCGUCUUGAGGGAGAUAGGGGCAUGUGGAACUUCCGGUGGAGCGGUGAAAUGCGUAGAUAUCGGAAGGAACGCCGGUGGCGAAAGCGACGUGCUGGACCUCUUCUGACGCUGAGGCGCGAAAGCUAGGGGAGCAAACGGG
rnacentral:rRNA from 1 species